CCCCGUGUGGCGGAAUUGGUAGACGCGCUAGCUUCAGGUGCUAGUGUCCGCAAGGACGUGCUGGUUCGAGUCCAGUUGCGGGGACCA
rnacentral:tRNA from 1 species